rnacentral:rRNA from 1 species
GACGAACGCUGGCGGCGUGCUUAACACAUGCAAGUCGAACGGAAAGGCCCUUUCGGGGGUACUCGAGUGGCGAACGGGUGAGUAACACGUGGGUGAUCUGCCCUGCACUUUGGGAUAAGCCUGGGAAACUGGGUCUAAUACCGAAUAUUCCUUGCUGGUCGCAUGGCAUGGUGGGGGAAAGCCUUUGCGGUGUGGGAUGGGCCCGCGGCCUAUCAGCUUGUUGGUGGGGUGAUGGCCUACCAAGGCGACGACGGGUAGCCGGCCUGAGAGGGUGUCCGGCCACACUGGGACUGAGAUACGGCCCAGACUCCUACGGGAGGCAGCAGUGGGGAAUAUUGCACAAUGGGCGCAAGCCUGAUGCAGCGACGCCGCGUGGGGGAUGACGGCCUUCGGGUUGUAAACCCCUUUCAAUAGGGACGAAGCGCAAGUGACGGUACCUAUAGAAGAAGCACCGGCCAACUACGUGCCAGCCGCCGCAGUAA